CCAUACUUGUCAAAUCAUUUCCUAAGGGACUUUAAUUGUCCAAAAACAAGAAACCCAUACUUGAAACCCUAACAGAAAAAUCAAAACAGUAAAAUAAACAUCGAGACUAAACCCAAAUUACUCCAAAAAUCUAAGAAAACCCAGCAGCUUCACUUGUCUUGCAAUCAACACCUCUCGUCUACCACCAUCAUUCCAUCUUUUGUCGGUCUAUACCAAAAUCGUCCGCGAUAGGUCCUUGUAGAAGUAGAAACCGUCAGAGUUUUUAAAUGAUUUGUUCCUCCGACCCAUACCAUCCGUCGUUCAGUGGCCUUCUAUCCUUUCUGAGUAUCAUUUCCACCCUGUGAGGGGCCUCCUCAAUCCAUACCCUUUGAUCUGGCCAUUUCUUGCCUUUUUCAACCAUCUCAUGCGUUGCCUGGUUCGCUGAUCGUCCCACGAAAGAGCAUUCAAAGAAUCCCCUUCUACUGUCCGAUUUCAAAAGCCCAACUCCUCAGCCACCGUCACUGCUUGGAGCCUCAGCCACCGUCACUGCUUGGAGGCACGCUUUCACUUUCGUCGUGGUAGCGUCUGUCAAAAUAAGUCCUUCACUAUCUCUGAACAUGAUUCCCAUAACUAAUUUAAGCAAAUAAUUGUUGUAAGCUGCGUCAAAAUUGCAUUUGACAGAUGUUGCUAUUUCUUUUACUAUACUGGUACUUUCUGCCUUGUAUGCUUUAAUAAAUGUUAUUACCCUGUCUGUAUUCAUCUUUUCGCCCUGAUGGUGGAUUUUAUUUCUUUUCUACCAAAUCACCCAUAAAGCAAUAGCUAAAUAUUCUCUUUGUUCU